CCAGGCUAGAUGUUCGUUUGCUUGAGAGAGUCAAACUCCUUCCAAGAGCUCACCAUGGCCAGGACUCUGCUUUUCCUCACACUUCUCAGUUACUGUUCAGGUGUCAGUUCACAGCCAACAUUGACUCAGCCGGCCACUCUGUCUGUGUCCCCGGGACAAACAGCUACAAUAUCCUGCACCAUCAGCAGUAACCCAUAUACCACAGGCUGGUAUCAACAGAAACCUGGCCAGGGUCCUCGCUAUGUGCAUGCUGAUGGUGGAUACGGCAGGGGAGAAGGGAUCCCGGAUCGAUUCACUGCUUCCCGCUCUGGGAACACGGCCUCUUUAACCAUCACCGGCACUCAGGCUGAAGAUGAAGCGAAUUAUUACUGUGCAAUGUAUUACAGCAGCUCGUUCCACAGUGAUAAAUUCUAAUGGGGAACUGAGACAAAAACCUUCACCCUUCCUAACAUGUGAAUUUCUUCUCUGAACUGAACGCUAUGAUAUUUCAUACCAAAUCAAAUAUUUUCAUGUUACGACAUGAAGCCCAAAAUGAUCAGAGGUCAAAUUGCACAUCUAAACUAAAAUUUUACAAAGGGAAUAUGCAAUGCCAUGAAUCCAAAUUGGUGUUACAAAUAAU